rnacentral:rRNA from 1 species
GACGGAGGAUGCAAGCGUUAUCCGGAAUUAUUGGGCGUAAAGCGUGCGCAGGCGGUUUUUCAAGUCUGAUGUGAAAGCCCCGGGCUUAACCUGGGAACUGCGUUGGAAACUGAAAGACUAGAGUGCGGCAGAGGGGGGUAGAAUUCCACGUGUAGCAGUGAAAUGCGUAGAUAUGUAGAGGAAUACCGAUGGCGAAGGCAGCCCCCUGGGUCGACACUGACGCUCAUGCACGAAAGCGUGGGUAGCAAACAGG